rnacentral:rRNA from 1 species
UACGUAGGGUGCAGGCGUUAAUCGGAAUUACUGGGCGUAAAGCGUGCGCAGGCGGUCUGCUAAGACAGGUGUGAAAUCCCCGGGCUUAACCUGGGAACUGCGCUUGUUACUGGCAGGCUUGAGUGUGGCAGAGGGGGGUGGAAUUCCACGUGUAGCAGUGAAAUGCGUAGAGAUGUGGAGGAACACCGAUGGCGAAGGCAGCCCCCUGGGCUAACACUGACGCUCAUGCACGAAAGCGUGGGGAGCAAACAGG